AUAUAUGUCGGAGACUGUCAAUAGUACGGACACUAAACGUCACGCAAGCGCGCCCUCUGGUGGCGUUUCCGGUGAAACAACAUUUUGGCGCGCUUGGCAGAGUAGUGGUGGUCGGCGUGGCGUCCGCGGAGCUCAGUCUUGGUCGAGUCGUCGUGCUGCGCACAUCUCGAUACUGCCCUACGUCACGUCUAGUGUACCUAGUGUUAUUGCCUAGUGUUGUAGUGCCGUUGUAGAUCCAUAUUGUAAAGUGUGUAAAGUGUCUUUUGAAAUUAAAGUGUAAAGGUUCUUCUAACCUAACAGACAGACAUGUGUUGCUGGGGAGUUUGUUCCGCCACUUCUUCUCCCCAGCCAAAACACAUAGGAAGUGGCGAAGGGCGGACGUUUUGGGGGUUGUCUUUUGUUCUGACCAAUUUGAAUAAACGUUUGAGUUUUGAGUUUGUUUAAGUUUCUUUGAGUUAUCUCUUUGUACGAUUACCCUAACUGAUGUCGGACGAUAGUGCCAUCCUGAUGUUUCGGCGCCUUCCGACAUCAGAAGUGGGAUGCAAUCCGAAUGCCCACGUGUGUUAAGGAUUGCCAUGCCAUUGUUCAAAAAGUGAAAAAGUGAUGUGCUCGUUCGGAGUGAUGUGUGGCGGCCGAUGGUGGAUUAGUUUCGGGAGAAUUCGCCACGUGAAGACAAAUUUUCUGAAUUUCUGAGUGCACGAUAGGCACAGGCUGAAUACCUACCUACUGGGAGAAGAAAAUAAGGGAACAUCAGAAUUUUGAUAUGGAGGUUAUAGUAACCACGGUUAUGGUAAUGGUAUCGAUUUCCAUUGUGACAUGUCAAACUAGUUAUUGAAGGUACGCUAGAAAAUUAACCGAUUUAUCUUCUCAUUUUCAUGUUUCAACAAUGACGGUGAUUAUUGUGCAAUAUGGCGACAAAAUUACUGCGGAGCAUCUCGGCUGCCUGCCAGGAGCCUAACGUGUCAUCGUGAGGUCGGAGUGUGGGUGCUCGUGCAUCUCCAUGGCUGGCUUCACGUCCGCAAAAGCCUUGCUGAACUGCGCACCAUAGCGAUGUGCGCAACGUUAUGCGCUAUGAGUGGAAACCCGGUGAGACCGAUCCAUUUUUGCUUUAUUUUAAGGUUAUUUGUCUUACGACAUUUAUAAACUUGAGAGACAGUUUCAGUCUCGUUGAUUGCGCUACCACUGCGCUUAUUAAUUGGUGGAAUCGUAGAUAAUCAGAAACCUAGGUUCACAGAUAACAUCUAAGGUGAACCGAGCCUGGAGAACAGGACGAGGUCCACUAGUCAAGCGGCGCGCGAGGUGCGCUGCAGUUGCUGUUUGGAGCGUCAUCCUCCCCCGGAUUUGUCGUGGAGGCCGUAUGAGUUGCGGCAGGCCAGGACAUCGCAUGUCAUCGCACAAGGUGAAAGCAUUCUAUUGCAUUGAAAAUGUUUAGAUUGAUCAGACAAACUUGACAAUGACUAGCCUGUGUGGCAAUGACUAGCCUGUGUGGCAAUGACUAGCCUGUGUGGCAGCUAGGAGCCUGUGUGGCAGCUAGGAGCCUGUGUGGCAGCUAGGAGCCUGUGUGGCAGCUAGGAGCCUGUGUGGCAGUUGGUAGCCUGUGUGGCAGUUGGUAGCCUGUGUGGCAGUUGGUAGCCUGUGUGGCAGUUGAUAGCCUGUGUGGCAGUUGGUAGCCUGUGUGGCAGUUGGUAGCCUGUGUGGCAUUCAAGUGUGAGCGAUAUUAAUAAGCCUGUGUGGCGUAAUUAUAACCCUAUGUGGUUCUGUGGUUCAGAUGGAUCUGUGUGACUUUUGUUCAGUGUGCUACAUAGUGGUCAGGAGUGGCCGAGGUUGUACUGUGCAUACUGUGCUGUGUUUGUGUUGUUGCAGAUUAACCCACGAGGACGUGGGUCUACGCAGGAUGGCCGUGUCGGAGACUGUCAAUAGUACGGACACUAAACGUCACGCAAGCGCGCCCUCUGGUGGCGUUUCCGGUGAAACAACAUUUUGGCGCGCUUGGCAGAGUAGUGGUGGACGGCGUGGCGUCCGCGGAGCUCAGUCUUGGUCGAGUCGUCGUGCUGCGCACAUCUCGAUACUGCCCUACGUCACGUCUAGUGUACCUAGUGUUAUUGCCUAGUGUUGUAGUGCCGUUGUAGAUCCAUAUUGUAAAGUGUGUAAAGUGUCUUUUGAAAUUAAAGUGUAAAGGUUCUUCUAACCUAACAGACAGACAUGUGUUGCUGGGGAGUUUGUUCCGCCACUUCUUCUCCCCAGCCAAAACACAUAGGAAGUGGCGAAGGGCGGACGUUUUGGGGGUUGUCUUUUGUUCUGACCAAUUUGAAUAAACGUUUGAGUUUUGAGUUUGU